UGGUGGAGUGAUUUGUCUGGUUAAUUCCGAUAACGAACGAGACUCUGGCCUACUAAAUAGUGAGCGCAUCUUCGGUGCGUCGCACUUCUUAGAGGGACAAGUGACUUACAGUCACACGAAAUUGAGCAAUAACA
rnacentral:rRNA from 1 species